CCUACGGGUGGCAGCAGUGAGGAAUAUUGGUCAAUGGACGAGAGUCUGAACCAGCCAAGUCGCGUGAAGGAUGACUGCCCUAUGGGUUGUAAACCUCUUUUAUAUGGGAGUAAAAUGUUCCACGUUUGGGAUUUUGUAUGUACCCGAUGAAUAAGGAUCGGCUAACUCCGUGCCAGCAGCCGCGGUAAUACGGAGGAUCCGAGCGUUAUCCGGAUUUAUUGGGUUUAAAGGGAGGGCAGGUGGGUUGGUAAGUCAGUUGUCAAAGUUUGGGGAACAACCGUAAAAUUGCAGUUGAAACUGGUAGGCUUGAGUGCAGGAGAGGUGGGCGGAAUGCGUGGUGUAGCGGUGAAAUGCUGAGAUAUCACGAAGAACUCCGAUUGCGAAGGCAGCUCACUGGAGUGCAACUGACACUGAGGCUCGAAAGUGUGGGUAUCAAACAGGAUUAGAUACCCCAGUAGUC
rnacentral:rRNA from 1 species